AUGUGUUACCUAAGCACUUAUGCUCAAAAGUUCUUAAUCCAAAUGAUUUGGUUCAAAUGGAAAAUGAGAUUGGAAAAAUCCUUUGUGAUUUAGAAAGGAUUUUUCCGCCAUCAUUCUUUGAUGUCAUGGUUCAUCUUUCGGUUCAUCUUGCUUCAGAGGCCAAAUUAGGAGGGACAGUUCAUUACCGUUGGAUGUAUCCAAUCGAGAGGUAUUUAUCUACAUUAAAAUCUUACGUCAAAA
rnacentral:lncRNA from 1 species